GUAGGUGGCAAGCGUUGUCCGGAAUUAUUGGGCGUAAAGCGCGCGCAGGCGGUUCUUUAAGUCUGAUGUGAAAGCCCACGGCUCAACCGUGGAGGGUCAUUGGAAACUGGAGAACUUGAGUACAGAAGGGGAAAGCGGAAUUCCACGUGUAGCGGUGAAAUGCGUAGAGAUGUGGAGGAACACCAGUGGCGAAGGCGGCUUUCUGGUCUGUAACUGACGCUGAGGCGCGAAAGCGUGGGGAGCAAACAGGGAUUAGAUACCCUGGUAGUCCACGCCGUAAACGAUGAGUGCUAAGUGUUAGGGGGGUUUCCGCCCCCUUAGUGCUGCAGCUAGCGCAUUAAGCACUCCGCCCUGGGAGUACGGCCGCAAGGCUG
rnacentral:rRNA from 1 species